rnacentral:tRNA from 1 species
GGGACUAUAGCUUAGUGAUAGAGCGCUUGCCUCACAGGCAUUAGGCCCUGGAUUCAAUCCCCAGUACCA